CGAAACGAUUCGAGAGAUCGCAUACUCGAAGAUCGAGAACAUUAUCGAACCGAGUAUCGUUACGAUCAAUUGUAGAGGUUAAUCGCGUUUGCCUUACCGGCGUAUGUUCGAUACAAUACGAUCGAACCAAAUCGAACGAUGGAUCGUCGAUCAUUACGAACUUUUAUUUGCGAAGGUUAAUAAUUCUAGAACGAUCAUUCUAUUUCUGAUCAAUGAUCUUUGUUAAAUUGAUCAUUGCUGUGACACGAGGAAAAAAAGAAAGUGAAAACUUCACUCUAAAUUUAGAUCUUGCUUAUGUUUCGAAUACAUUAUAUGUUUAUUGCAAUUUUCCCGUGCACGUUCUACAAGGAAUUCAAUCAAUAUUUUCACGCCCGUGAUAAGCUCGCAAAGCAUCGUCUAGUGCAACGUAAUUGUCACAGAAACAAAAAAGCGGAAGUAAGAUACGUAUCGUUUCGUUUGCGAUAAAAAGUAUGACCGAGCAAAGCGAUUACAAGAAUGGAAACAUCCGUUCGGGUAAAAAUCAAUUUUCGGAAAAAAAUCAUGAUUAAUAAAACGCAUGACAAUGAAUCAUAUUUCGUUGAAAGGAAAAAAAUA